CUUUGUUCCAGGCACAAUAUGGUUGGAAAUGUAGUACUUCUGCAGAAUAAUUAGUGACAAAUAUCCUUAAAUACCUAUUGAAAAUGGGAUUAUGAUUUUUAGAACUUUGUCUAUGACAAUAGAAAUGAAAUAACAAUGGAUGUGAAGGACAGGUGUGUUCACUGCCAAGAUUUAGCAAUCUAGUUUUAAAAGUAAAACUUGAGGUACUUUAAGUUUGCAAUGUAUGUGACUGAGAUGGAAACAAGAUAACUACUACGUCCGUCUCCUCAAAUCUUAUAGAAUAUGAUAAUAAUUUCUCAGAGGCAUUUAAAAAUGGAAAAUCUAAAUAACACACUUAGAGUUCCAUUUGUCCUUUUAAUUGCAGCCCAAAGUCUCCUAUUUUCUGGAGGUGCUUUUAAAUGCAGCCCAAAGUCUCCUAUUUUCUGGAGGUGUAUUUGAGGUGUAUCUCCUCAAAUAGCCUAAGUGUGAGAAUUUCCUGUUCAAACGUGAAGUGACACAUUGAUGUCAAAUCAACUUUUUCCAUUCUUGCUUCACUCUGAGCCUUCACAGGGCACUCUGUGAAAGUCACAGACAUUGCUUAUUCUUGUCCUGGAUUUAUGUUUUUAAAUUUCUCCUUUUAUUACCCAGCUAUAGCAGGCCUCUUUUAUGAGAGUAUCCUGACCUCCCUACUAAAGGAUGCACGACUUUCUGGCCAACAGAAGGUAUGUGUCUCUCCUCUCCUGUCUCUCUAUUAGACCAUCUCACUUAGUGGGAACUAAUGAAUAUGAAAUGUGAUACAACUGAAAUACAGUUUAUAUAUGGCAAAAUCAAAGUAGAACAUUGUUUUUUAAAAAAAUAAUUUUAACUAAAAAGCAAUCAUAAAAUAUCAAAUAUGAUGGAGCAUUUCUCCAAGUAUUUAAAUUGUUUUCUGUAGAAUGUUAAUCAAGUGCAUACACACAGGCAUGAAUGGGUUUGUAUAUAAUAUUAAGUGAAACCCAAAGACCUCAUGACAGGGAACAAUUAGUUUGAGAUUUUAUGAUCAGUAGAGGUAAGUUUUUUGUAUAAUAAUAUGUUAAUAUAUUUUUGCUAAAUUUUUUAAACAUGUUCUUGGAAAGGAAUUCAUUGUAUAGCAAAGGCCAAACAUAAAACCUCAUACAUGUGUUAGAUUGAAUACAACAAUCCAAAAUUUUAAUAAAAAUCAGAUUGAGGUAAGUUCCUAAAGGCUAAUUUAAACUUAAUUGUAAGCAAUGGAAGUAUUUUUUAAAAAAUCAAACAUAGCAUAAAUGACAUGUUAAACUAAUUGAAGACACUAACUGAUAUAAAUCAGAAAUAGUACCAUAGAAAUGAUGACUAAAAUAAUAAUUAAAACUGAUAAUUAUUGAGAACUUAUAAGUGCCA
rnacentral:lncRNA from 1 species